rnacentral:lncRNA from 1 species
GCUGUUUUCAGUUCUUCACUCACAUCUGACGAAACCAAGCGAGUCUUUGAUAGGUCAGUUUAAAUUGGUGCCAGGCCAAGGAAGCGUCUGAUAGGACAACCUCCCACAGUGCCUUAUUUGCAUGGGGUUGUUUAGGGGAUAUCCAGGAAUUCCAGGCACAAAAGACCCUUCCCUGUCCUUGCCACUGUGGGUCUGUUCCCCGUCGCUCUGGCUCUGCAGAGUGAACUCUUUCCACCCUCAAUACAUGUGCAUCCCACUACCUUUUUUGUGUGUUUGGUCCAGUUCCUUGUUCAGGACACCAAGAACCUGGAAAGAGUCCCCCAGACCCGCCUUCUGGUAACACGUGGAAGAUCUGUGUUGAACCUUUCAUUGGCAUGGACUAGCCCUGAGCACAGCUUCCUGUGGUCUUCGCUGGUAAGCCAGCCAGGAGACAUAACAGACAGAGAGCAUCACCAGACCUCAGGAUCCUCACCAGACUUGGGAGGCAUCGGCAGCAGCCUGAAGGCCUUCAGCAACCUCAGCAGACAAGGGAAACCAGACCACCCGGCCAAAAACAAGGGUACAGGGAAGAGAUAG